GAACAAAAGGGUAAAAGCUCGUUUGAU
rnacentral:snRNA from 1 species